GAAGGUAGAAGGUGGGGUCUGCCGGACGCGUGUUCCUGCCACCAGGUGCCCGCUCCCCGCGAGGCCGGCUCAGGAGCAGGAAGGAAGCCCGGUGCCAGCCAGCCUUCCUGAAAGACCAAGCCCGCGCCAUCCGGCUUCCUCCAGUGGACGCCUGCAGGACCCAGGGAAUGUUUUUCUUGAAGGCAUCCAGCAUCUCCAGUUAGCAGUACUGAUUUUUUUUCCCCCCAACAAAGGAACACUACAUCAACACUGUUGGCGGGGACCUGGACACAGAAGACUCCUGUUUCAAGAAAAUACAAUCAUCUCUCAAAGGCUGUAAUUUAUAUGCAUUUUAAAACUCUAGGCAUUGAAAACCACCCAAGUGUCCCAAAUAGAAGGGUAAUAUAUAAUCAAUCACUCAGUGUAAUAUUAUACAUCCUUUAAAAAUGUUAUUGGGAAAUGUUUUAUGAUCUGUAAGUCCAAGGAAUCCUCUCCCACCAUUUCUUUCCCCCCGCUGUUCCCCCAUACCCACACUUCUUUGUUCCAAUUGGCAUGUAAAUUUGGUUUUCCCGCCAAAUGAGUCAGUCAUGAUGGGAACCUCAACUGAUUUGAACAGAUGUGUGUCAAUGUUACUUGGAAAACUAGAUGUCAAUAACCAGGGUCACAGAAAAAGGCAGUGGUCACAACUCUGUAAAAAUGUAUGCAUGCACACAGACAAGAACUAAAGUGGAACCCCACACAGGAAAACAGUGGGCUGUACUCCAGUGCUGGGACAUUGAAUGACUGUAUGCUGCUUUUGAUUUCCGUUAA
rnacentral:lncRNA from 1 species